rnacentral:ncRNA from 2 species
UUAUUAUGAUUCCUUCGAGCAAUGUUACCUGAAUAGCCUACUUAUGGUACAUCGCCGAUAGGGUAUAAUUGGAAACGAUUAUGCCUCCCGUGAUUGGAAAGAAGGAUGAAUAUAAAGCAU